rnacentral:rRNA from 1 species
AGAGUUUGAUCCUGGCUCAGGAUAAACGCUAGCGGCAGGCUUAACACAUGCAAGUCGAGGGGCAGCGGGGAGGAAGCUUGCUUUCUCCGCCGGCGACCGGCGCACGGGUGAGUAACACGUAUGCAACCUGCCCCUGUCAGGGGGACAACCCGCCGAAAGGCGGGCUAAACCCGCGUACAUGCCACCGGGGCAUCCCGGAGGCAGGAAAGGCUUCGGCCGGACAGGGAUGGGCAUGCGGCGCAUUAGGCAGUAGGCGGGGUAACGGCCCACCUAACCGACGAUGCGUAGGGGUUCUGAGAGGAAGGUCCCCCACACUGGUACUGAGACACGGACCAGACUCCUACGGGAGGCAGCAGUGAGGAAUAUUGGUCAAUGGUCGGGAGACUGAACCAGCCAAGCCGCGUGAGGGAUGAAGGUACAGAGUAUCGUAAACCUCUUUUGUCAGGGAACAAAGGCGGGGACGUGUCCCCGGAUGAGUGUACCUGAAGAAAAAGCAUCGGCUAACUCCGUGCCAGCAGCCGCGGUAAUACGGAGGAUGCGAGCGUUAUCCGGAUUUAUUGGGUUUAAAGGGUGCGCAGGCGGUCUGUUAAGUCAGCGGUCAAAGCCCGGGGCUCAACCCCGGCCCGCCGUUGAAACUGGCAGUCUCGAGUUGGAGAGAAGUAUGCGGAAUGCGCGGUGUAGCGGUGAAAUGCAUAGAUAUCGCGCAGAACUCCGAUUGCGAAGGCAGCAUGCCGGCUCCACACUGACGCUGAGGCACGAAAGCGUGGGUAUCGAACAGGAUUAGAUACCCUGGUAGUCCACGCAGUAAACGAUGAAUGCUGGCUGUCCGGGGGGGGAUUGACCCCUGGGUGGCGAAGCGAAAGCGAUAAGCAUUCCACCUGGGGAGUACGCCGGCAACGGUGAAACUCAAAGGAAUUGACGGGGGCCCGCACAAGCGGAGGAACAUGUGGUUUAAUUCGAUGAUACGCGAGGAACCUUACCCGGGCUCAAACGGGGAGUGACUCAGGCAGAGACGCCUGUUUCCCACGGGACACUCCCCGAGGUGCUGCAUGGUUGUCGUCAGCUCGUGCCGUGAGGUGUCGGCUUAAGUGCCAUAACGAGCGCAACCCCCGCGUGCAGUUGCUAACAGAUAACGCUGAGGACUCUGCACGGACUGCCGGCGCAAGCCGCGAGGAAGGCGGGGAUGACGUCAAAUCAGCACGGCCCUUACGUCCGGGGCGACACACGUGUUACAAUGGGUGGUACAGCGGGAAGCCAGGCGGCGACGCCGAGCGGAACCCGAAAUCCACUCUCAGUUCGGAUCGGAGUCUGCAACCCGACUCCGUGAAGCUGGAUUCGCUAGUAAUCGCGCAUCAGCCAUGGCGCGGUGAAUACGUUCCCGGGCCUUGUACACACCGCCCGUCAAGCCAUGGGAGCCGAGGGCGCUUGAAGUGCGUCGCCGCGAGGCGCGCCCUAGAGCGAAAUCGGUGACUGGGGCUAAGUCGUAACAAGGUAA